CUGGAUUACUUUUUAGUUUUUUGUUGUGAGCAGCCCAAGGUCUGUUUUGAGCUAUUUGUAAAUUGAUUUAAAAUAUUGAGUUGGAUAUUAAGUAUUUUAACAUAAAUAUAUAUAAAAAUAUUAAAAAUAUUUUGUAUUGUCAUAUCUUGCCGUAUUCAUGUCCUCAUUUUUUAAAAAUUAUCGUGUCACCGUGUCCGUAUGGUGUUGUACCCGUAUUACGACACGAUAUAUGCUUCAUAGCUUGCCAUGCACCACAUCCAAGCUAGCCGUAUCAUUAGCCUUUCCUCUCUUACAUCUCUCAUAGAUUCUCAACAAUCUAUCUUUUAGUACAAUCC
rnacentral:lncRNA from 1 species